rnacentral:tRNA from 1 species
GUGAGCAUAGUUUAACCAAAACAUUACGCUGUGGACAUAAAAAUAGGGAGCACAAUCCCUUGCACACC